UGAGCAUAUCAAUAAGCGGAGGAAAAGAAACUAACAAGGAUUCCCCCUAGUAACUGCGAGUGAAGCGGGAUGAGCUCAAAUUUAAAAUCUGGCGUCUUCGGCGUCCGAGUUGUAAUUUAGAGAAGCGUUUUCCGCGCCGGACCGUGUACAAGUCUCCUGGAACGGAGCGUCAUAGAGGGUGAGAAUCCCGUCUUUGACACGGACCCCCGGUGCUCUGUGAUACGCUCUCGAAGAGUCGAGUUGUUUGGGAAUGCAGCUCAAAAUGGGUGGUGAACUCCAUCUAAAGCUAAAUAUUGGCGAGAGACCGAUAGCGAACAAGUACCGUGAGGGAAAGAUGAAAAGCACUUUGGAAAGAGAGUGAAACAGUACGUGAAAUUGUUGAAAGGGAAACGCUUGAAGUCAGUCGCGUCCGCCAGGAUUCAGCCUCACGGUGUACUUUCUGGUGGACGGGCCAGCAUCACUUUCAAUCAUCGGACAAGGUCGAGAGGAAUGUGGCACCUUCGGGUGUGUUAUAGCCUCUUGUCGUAUACGGUGACUGGGAGUGAGGACCGCCUUUGUAGGAUGCUGGCGUAAUGGCUUUAAACGACCCGUCUUGAAACACGGACCAAGGAGUCUAACAUGCCCGCGAGUGUUUGGGUGGAAAACCCAUGCGCGUAAUGAAAGUGAAAGUUGGGAAGGCUGUCGCGGCCUGCACCGACGCCCGGACUCGAGAUUUAUCUAAGGUUCUGCGGUAGAGCGUGUAUGUUGGGACCCGAAAGAUGGUGAACUAUGCCUGAAUAGGGUGAAGCCAGAGGAAGACUCUGGUGGAGGCUCGUAGCGAUUCUGACGUGCAAAUCGAUCGUCAAAUUUGGGUAUAGGGGCGAAAGACUAAUCGAA
rnacentral:rRNA from 1 species